rnacentral:rRNA from 1 species
CCUACGGGCGGCAGCAGUGGGGAAUAUUGCUCAAUGGGGGAAACCCUGAAGCAGCAACGCCGCGUGGAGGAUGAAGGUUUUCGGAUUGUAAACUCCUUUUGUUAGGGAAGAUAAUGACGGUAUCUAACGAAUAAGCACCGGCUAACUCCGUGCCAGCAGCCGCGGUAAUACGUAGGGUGCAAGCGUUACUCGGAAUCACUUGGCGUAAAGAGCGCGUAGAGGGGAUAAGAAGUCAGAGGUGAAAUACUAGGGCUUAACCAUAGAACUGCAUUUGAAACUGUUAUUCUAGAGUAUGGGAGAGGUAGGCGGAAUUCGUGGUGUAGGGGUAAAAUGCGUAGAGAGCAAGAGGAAUACUCAUUGCGAAGGCGGCAUGCUAGAACAUAACUGACGCUGAUGCGCGAAAGCGUGGGGAGCAAACAGGAUUAGAUACCCUUGUAGUC